GAUGAACGCUGGCGGCGUGCCUAAUACAUGCAAGUCGAGCGAACAGAUGAGGAGCUUGCUCCUCUGACGUUAGCGGCGGACGGGUGAGUAACACGUGGAUAACCUACCUAUAAGACUGGGAUAACUUCGGGAAACCGGAGCUAAUACCGGAUAAUAUAUUGAACCGCAUGGUUCAAUAGUGAAAGACGGUUUUGCUGUCACUUAUAGAUGGAUCCGCGCCGCAUUAGCUAGUUGGUAAGGUAACGGCUUACCCAGGCAACGAUGCGUAACCGACCUGAGAGGGUGAUCGGCCACCCUGGAACUGAGAAACGGUCCAGACUCCUACGGUAGGCAGCAGUAGGGAAUCUUCCGCAAGGGGCGAAAGCCUGACGGAGCAACGCCGCGUGAGUGAUGAAGGUCUUCGGAUCGUAAAACUCUGUUAUUAGGGAAGAACAAAUGUGUAAUUAACUAUGCACGUCUUGACGGUACCGAAUCAGAAAGCCACGGCUAACUACGUG
rnacentral:rRNA from 1 species